rnacentral:snRNA from 1 species
GUGCUGGUUUUGGAAGCCCAUGUACUAAAUGAAAUGAAACAGAGAUCAGCAUGAUCACUGUGCAAGGACUACAUGCAAAUUCGUGAAUGUUUCAUAUUUUA